AGGUCCUCAAUAAGUAUUUGUUGAAAGAAUAAAUGAACCAACAAGUCUUAUUUGAGCACCUGUUAUG
rfam:Camelus ferus unplaced genomic scaffold scaffold384, whole genome shotgun sequence.